GCAUAUCAAUAAGCGGAGGAAAAAGAAACCAACAGGGAUUGCCCCAGUUAACGGCGAGUGAAGCGGCAACAGCUUCAAAUUUGAAAUCUGGCCCCCCAGGGUCCGAGUUGUAAUUUGCAGAGGAUGAUUUUGGCGAGGUGCCUUCCGAGUUCCCUGGAACGGGACGCCACAGAGGGUGAGAGCCCCGUCUGGUUGGACGCCGAGCCUAUGUAAAUCUCCUUCGACGAGUCGAGUAGUUUGGGAAUGCUGCUCUAAAUGGGAGGUAUAUGUCUUCUAAAGCUAAAUAUUGGCCAGAGACCGAUAGCGCACAAGUAGAGUGAUCGAAAGAUGAAAAGCACUUUGAAAAGAGGGUUAAAUAGUACGUGAAAUUGUUGAAAGGGAAGCGCUCAUGACCAGACUUGGGCCCGGUGAAUCAUCCAGCGUUCUCGCUGGUGCACUUUGCCGGGCUCAGGCCAGCAUCAGUUUGCCCCGGGGGAUAAAGGCUUUGGGAAUGUGGCUCCUCCGGGAGUGUUAUAGCCCAUUGCAUAAUAUCCUGGGGCGGACUGAGGUUCGCGCAUCUGCAAGGAUGCUGGCGUAAUGGUCAUCAGCGACCCGUCUUGAAACACGGACCAAGGAGUCGUCUUCGUAUGCGAGUGUUCGGGUGUAAAACCCCUACGCGUAAUGAAAGUGAACGCAGGUGAGAGCUUCGGCGCAUCAUCGACCGAUCCUGAUGUUCUCGGAUGGAUUUGAGUAAGAGCAUACGGGGCCGGACCCGAAAGAAGGUGAACUAUGCCUGUAUAGGGUGAAGCCAGAGGAAACUCUGGUGGAGGCUCGCAGCGGUUCUGACGUGCAAAUCGAUCGUCAAAUAUGGGCAUGGGGGCGAAAGACUAAUCGAACCUUCUAGUAGCUGGGUUGCUUCGAA
rnacentral:rRNA from 1 species